UGUUCCUACGGGGCGCAGCAGUGGGGAAUAUUGCACAAUGGGGGGAACCCUGAUGCAGCGACGCCGCGUGGGUGAGGAAGUACUUCGGUAUGUAAAGCCCUAUCAGCAGGGAAGAAAAUGACGGUACCUGACUAAGAAGCCCCGGCUAACUACGUGCCAGCAGCCGCGGUAAUACGUAGGGGGCAAGCGUUAUCCGGAAUCACUGGGUGUAAAGGGAGCGUAGACGGCUGUGCAAGCCUGAAGUGAAAGGCGGGGGCCCAACCCCCGGACUGCUUUGGGAACGGUACGGCUGGAGUGCAGGAGAG
rnacentral:rRNA from 1 species